CAAUUUUUGUUUAACAAUCAAGAUUUGAUCAGCAUUUAUUUUGAUUUUUUUCUAAUUGUGAAUUUAUUAAUUGCUGUAAAUCUUAUUGAUUGUUAAUUAGAUUUUCUACUGUCAUGGCUGCUGCUGUUGCUUCAUCAACGAAUCCUGUGUCGGUUCCUGACCAAAGAGAGAGGAUUAUUGCUGAGUAUAGGAAGAAAGUGCAAGAACACCAAGAUUAUGAAGCGAGGCUUAAACAAGUUAGGGAAGAGUUAAAAGAGAGCAACAAGCAAUUCCAAAAAAGUGAAGCUGAUUUGAAAGCCCUUCAAAGUGUUGGACAAAUUGUCGGUGAAGUCUUGAAGCAGCUGACUGAUGAUAAUUUCAUUGUCAAAGCUACUAAUGGACCUCGGUAUGUUGUUGGUUGUCGUCGACAGCUUGAUAAAAGUAAACUUAAAUCUGGUACUAGAGUUGCUCUUGAUAUGACUACUUUGACAAUCAUGAGAUAUCUUCCUCGGGAAGUUGAUCCUUUGGUUUACAAUAUGUCACAUGAAAGUCCAGGUGAUGUUAAUUACUCAAGUAUUGGUGGUUUGGGUGAACAGAUUAGAGAAUUGAGAGAAGUCAUUGAAUUGCCUCUUUUAAAUCCUGAACUUUUUGAAAGAGUUGGUAUAACACCACCUAAAGGUUGCCUUCUUUAUGGACCUCCUGGUACUGGUAAAACUCUUUUGGCUCGAGCUGUAGCUUCACAAAUUGAGGCCAAUUUCCUCAAAGUUGUAUCUUCUGCAAUUGUUGAUAAAUAUAUUGGAGAAAGUGCUAGGUUGAUUCGAGAAAUGUUCAACUAUUCUCGGGAUCAUCAACCUUGCGUUAUUUUCAUGGAUGAAAUUGAUGCCAUUGGUGGUAGAAGAUUCAGUGAAGGUACUUCAGCUGAUCGAGAAAUUCAAAGAACAUUGAUGGAAUUAUUGAAUCAAAUGGAUGGUUUCGAUGCCUUAGGCCAAGUUAAAAUCAUUAUGGCCACAAAUCGACCUGAUACCUUGGAUCCAGCUUUACUUCGUCCCGGAAGAUUGGAUCGUAAAAUUGAAAUACCUCUUCCAAAUGAACAAGGUCGAUUAGAGAUUAUGAAAAUUCAUGCUCGUCCAAUAGCCAAACAUGGUGAUAUUGAUUGGGAAGCUAUAGUUAAAUUGUCCGAUGGAUUCAAUGGUGCUGAUCUGAGAAAUAUUUGUACUGAAGCAGGUCUUUUCGCUAUUCGAGCUGAAAGAGAAUACGUAAUUGAAGAAGACUUUAUGAAAGCCGUUCGUAAAAUAUCCGAUAAUAAGAAACUCGAAACAAAAUUGGACUAUAAGCCGGUCUAAAGAUAUUAACACUUUUUUUAUGUACCAACCAAGGAUAUAAUACUAAAACAAUAUGAAAAUAAAAAUUUUUGCUGACCUCUGGUCAAACAAAAGGUCAACACAAGAAGAAGAAGAAGAAGAAGAAGAAGAGAUAAAAUGUGAUGAGGAAAAGUCGUUUUUGUUUCUCGGUUUGUCCAGGAUCGAGCAAAAAAUAUAAUAAUAAUAAAAAGAAAAAGAAAAAGGAAAAGUUUUUGAGUCUGUAAAAAAUAACCAGACAAAUGUUUGUGUUUACUUAGCGAUCGCUGGACAGUGUCCACUGGACACUUUUCAGAUAAACUUUGUCAUAUCUACAUUAUUAUGAUUAACAAUAUUGAUUAUCAACAUAAUCAUGUCAAUUA